UGACAUCAGACACUGAAUGUAGCCCAGGCC
rnacentral:piRNA from 1 species